GAGUUUGAUCAUGGCUCAGAUUGAACGCUGGCGGCAGGCCUAACACAUGCAAGUCGAACGGUAACAGGAAGAAGCUUGCUUCUUUGCUGACGAGUGGCGGACGGGUGAGUAAUGUCUGGGAAACUGCCUGAUGGAGGGGGAUAACUACUGGAAACGGUAGCUAAUACCGCAUAACGUCGCAAGACCAAAGAGGGGGACCUUCGGGCCUCUUGCCAUCGGAUGUGCCCAGAUGGGAUUAGCUAGUAGGUGGGGUAACGGCUCACCUAGGCGACGAUCCCUAGCUGGUCUGAGAGGAUGACCAGCCACACUGGAACUGAGACACGGUCCAGACUCCUACGGGAGGCAGCAGUGGGGAAUAUUGCACAAUGGGCGCAAGCCUGAUGCAGCCAUGCCGCGUGUAUGAAGAAGGCCUUCGGGUUGUAAAGUACUUUCAGCGGGGAGGAAGGGAGUAAAGUUAAUACCUUUGCUCAUUGACGUUACCCGCAGAAGAAGCACCGGCUAACUCCGUGCCAGCAGCCGCGGUAAUACGGAGGGUGCAAGCGCUAAUCGGAAUUACUGGGCGUAAAGCGCACGCAGUCGGUUUGUUAAGUCAGAUGUGAAAUCCCCGGGCUCAACCUGGGAACUGCAUCUGAUACUGGCAAGCUUGAGUCUCGUAGAGGGGGGUAGAAUUCCAGGUGUAGCGGUGAAAUGCGUAGAGAUCUGGAGGAAUACCGGUGGCGAAGGCGGCCCCCUGGACGAAGACUGACGCUCAGGUGCGAAAGCGUGGGGAGCAAACAGGAUUAGAUACCCUGGUAGUCCACGCCGUAAACGAUGUCGACUUGGAGGUUGUGCCCUUGAGGCGUGGCUUCCGGGGCUAACGCGUUAAGUCGACCGCCUGGGGAGUACGGCCGCAAGGUUAAAACUCAAAUGAAUUGACGGGGGCCCGCACAAGCGGUGGAGCAUGUGGUUUAAUUCGAUGCAACGCGAAGAACCUUACCUGGUCUUGACAUCCACGGAAGUUUUCAGAGAUGAGAAUGUGCCUUCGGGAACCGUGAGACAGGUGCUGCAUGGCUGUCGUCAGCUCGUGUUGUGAAAUGUUGGGUUAAGUCCCGCAACGAGCGCAACCCUUAUCCUUUGUUGCCAGCGGUCCGGCCGGGAACUCAAAGGAGACUGCCAGUGAUAAACUGGAGGAAGGUGGGGAUGACGUCAAGUCAUCAUGGCCCUUACGACCAGGGCUACACACGUGCUACAAUGGCGCAUACAAAGAGAAGCGACCUCGCGAGAGCAAGCGGACCUCAUAAAGUGCGUCGUAGUCCGGAUUGGAGUCUGCAACUCGACUCCAUGAAGUCGGAAUCGCUAGUAAUCGUGGAUCAGAAUGCCACGGUGAAUACGUUCCCGGGCCUUGUACACACCGCCCGUCACACCAUGGGAGGGGGUUGCAAAAGAAGUAGGUAGCUUAACCUUCGGGAGGGCGCUUACCACUUUGUGAUUCAUGACUGGGGUGAAGUCGUAACAAGGUA
rnacentral:rRNA from 1 species